UAUUUAUUUGAUAUUUGAUGA
rnacentral:piRNA from 1 species